AUGGCGCCGGCCCCUUCCCUCGCUGCAUCCGCGAACGACGACCACAACACGCUACCAUCAAUUCACCGUGGGAAGUGGUCAGACGACCACGGUGCUCCACGGGAGGCUGGGACGUCGCGGUUGGGGACGAGGAAGGCGAGGGCGAGCAGCGCGAGCAUGAGCGCCACAGGGAUGAGUAGCAGCAGCAACGGCGGCGGCGGAAGCGGGGGCAGCAGCAGCGGGAGCAGCAGGAGCGCCGCCGCCGCCCCCGCCACGAGAACCGUCGUCGUCGCCAUGCUCCUUUCCAUAUCUCGAGCCAGCUCCCUCGCUAUCUGUAUGGCAUGUGAUGUGAGCUAG
rnacentral:rRNA from 1 species